AUUGAACGCUGGCGGAAUGCUUUACACAUGCAAGUCGAACGGCAGCACGGGGGCAGCCCUGGUGGCGAGUGGCGAACGGGUGAGUAAUACAUCGGAACGUGCCCGGUCGUGGGGGAUAACGUAGCGAAAGUUACGCUAAUACCGCAUACGAUCUGAGGAUAAAAGCGGGGGACCUUCGGGCCUCGCGCGAUCGGAGCGGCCGAUGUCAGAUUAGGUAGUUGGUGGGGUAAAGGCCUACCAAGCCGACGAUCUGUAGCUGGUCUGAGAGGACGACCAGCCACACUGGGACUGAGACACGGCCCAGACUCCUACGGGAGGCAGCAGUGGGGAAUUUUGGACAAUGGGCGCAAGCCUGAUCCAGCCAUUCCGCGUGCAGGACGAAGGCCUUCGGGCUGUAAACUGCUUUUGUACGGAACGAAAAGGCUCUGGCUAAUACCUGGGGCUCAUGACGGUACCGUAAGAAUAAGCACCGGCUAACUACGU
rnacentral:rRNA from 1 species